AGUAGCUGACAAGUCCCAAAUAGGACGAAAUGUGCAUCGUGGAU
rnacentral:hammerhead_ribozyme from 1 species